rnacentral:lncRNA from 1 species
CCAAAACCCAAUUUCCUGCAUAACUGAACCAACCUCAAAGAAGUAAAGUGGUAGAUGAUCCAUGGGAGCCUUCUACUUUCAGACUGUGCAAGUGUCACAAGCUUGCCAACACGCAAUUUAUGUUUUCUGCUUUGUUUACUUUCCAUGAGAAGCGCUAAGGUCUAACCUUUUAGUCGGUGAGUGACUUUCUUUAUGGGAGUAAAAGGAAGCUAAGUCAUGAAAUAGCUGCUAUGUGAUUGUUACAAGCUAUCUAGGAUUCAAAGGUCUAAACUAUAGGGUCGAAAUAUUAUUUCAAAAAGGCAAAGAUACUCAAACGUUGAAAAACAACAACAAAAAAAUCCACUCGACACUCUUUCAAUUGAAGUGAUGAAGCCUAAAGAAUUCAUAUAGCAAAAUGGAGAAAAUCAGAAGACCAGCCAUCUAAAAAAUCCUCCACUGGUGAAGUGAUGAAGAACAUUCACUGGCUUAUCCUGAAAUUUGUCAAUUUUGUGACUCUUGGCUGCAUAUGGAUUUCUGUGGUGCAGUGUACAGUUUUAAACAGCUGCCUGAAGUCGUGUGUAUCCAGCCUGGUAAGUUUCAACAAUUGCAGAUUUGUCUUUACAGGGACUGGAAUAUGAGUUCCACUUGUUACAAUUGAUAGAACAGUUUUCUUUUUAUGAGAACUUUUCUCAUGAGAAGUGGAAACAAGGAAAGGUAGGGUUUUUGUUUUUUUUUUUUCUCCCCCUGAACUAAGUCAGGAAUAUUCAUGAUUGUAGAGGAUAAGUCAGGUAAUUUUGUUUCUUUGUCUUCUGGUCAUAGAUUUUGGGGUGGGGGGAAUGGUAGUGUGGGGAUUGGGAAAAGGAGGCUUAAGUGGAUGCCUAAUUUUGCACACUUUAAAAAUAUUUCAUUUAAUUGAUCACAAUAUGAUUCAUAUUUGUCUUAAAUAUGAAGGGGUUUGGCCACAGUGUAAAUCUUCUAGUUCUGCAGUAACAGUAAUAUUUGUAUCAUGGGUGGAUCACAGUACAGGGAGCCGGAUGACAGAAGUAGAUGCAGAUGCCAUGUAAAACACUUCACUUCAAAAGAAAAAAUUAUUUGUAAAUUCUCUUAUUUCUGGCUGUAAGUAAUUUCUAAUUAAUGAAUUUUUUCAUAUGGAAAUUUGUUUUCUUAUUUCUUGUUUUUUACACCUUCUAUACCUUCUGCAUAUGUUGCAUCAUAUUUUUCACUUGCAAUUUAGUUGUGCCUUAAACAAUCAUGGAAUCAUCUUUAAAAAUCAAGUAUUUGCUGGCUAAAGAAAAAUGUACUUUACUAUCUAAAGACUAAGGAAAUAGUAUGAGAGCUUACAUAUGACACAUUGUCAUAUAUUUAAAAAUAAUGAAGUACCAAAUAUGUUCAUCACUAUUAUGCUAACAUUAGAGAUAGAAUUCAGUGGCAGAUUAAAAAAGAAACUCGUGUUACACACUUUUAGUUUGAUUUAAAUUAUAGUUUAAAACACUACUUAAGCUUACUAUAGAUAAUAGCAUUUUAAAAAUAGAUCCAUGUUUUAUAGAAAUCUUUGCUGAAGAUCUCAUUGCCUUUAAUGUUGAAUAAUUGACUUUAGUUUUUUAUAAUUGUAAUACAAACUUAAAAAUGGAAGCAUGGUUGGGCUGCGGAUGUAGUUCAGUGAUACAGUGUUUCACUAGCAGGUGCAAGGUCCUAGCUUUGAUCCUAGUACUGCAAAACAACAAUAAACAACAACAAAAACAAAGAAAACAGCAGAAGCAUGGAACUAUUAAUUAUUUUAUCUCUAAAAUGAUUUUCUGGUUAUAAUAAGAUUAUGUAUAUGUUGUAAAAUAUUUUUAAGGUAAAGAAAUGGAGAAGGGAGAAGAACCAUAUAAUCACACUACUAUUAACUUCUAAUUGUAUUUUCUUUUAGCGUUUUCUCCCAAAUAUAUCCUCAAAUAUAUAUUUACAUACAAUUCUACACACGGUUGUGCACCAGGCCUUUUCAUUUCAUAUUGUAUUAUGAGUUUCCCCCUAAACCCUGAGCAUCACUCUAAUUUGCUAAUUUCCCUGCUAUUGGAUCGAAUUGUGAUUCUUCAGCACUGCAGGCUCCAUGUUUGGUUUGGUUUAGUUGUUUUUAUUCUUGUCUUUCUGUGUGGGCUGCUUGGGUCAGGUUUUGGCUAUGAGAGUGGACAGCUUGUUCCUUUAUUGAGCUGCCUUCCGCUCCCCACCUACAGGAAUGGCACAGCUGAUGAGGUGGGGGACAGCAGGAGAGACACCGCCUGCCAAUUUGACCAGAGACUGUGAUAAGAAUAAUCUGAUCAGGGCCGCCCACCCAGGACUUGGAGGGGUGAAUGUGAGCAUAGCCCUGGAUCAGGGCAGAGGCUGUGUGGCUUAUUAUGUCCUGGGCCAUCCUCUUAACAUGGAUGUUUGCUGUAAGGUCAUCCUUGAUUUCACUGAGUGAUUCUUGAUAUUGAAGCAUUUUUUGAUUUAAUGAAGAAACAGUCUUGAACAAGAGGAUGUUAGAAUUGCUGGGCAAGGGGCUGGGAUUGUGGCUCAGCAGCAGAGCGCUCACCUAGCAUAGGCAAGGCGCUGAGUUCAAUCCUCAGCACCACAUAAAAUGCACAAGUCUGAGUUCUGGUGCUCGAAGAUGGGUGUUUACAUUAUUUAAGGGAUCUAUACGUGUUAGUUGAGUAUAUUAACUGGCAAGUAUGCUUGAAUUCCAUAUGUCAUCUGCAGCAGAAUAAAUAAGUAAUGUUCUUCAGAAAACCAGUAUGGGAUAUUCUUGAUAAAAAAGAAAAUAAUAAACAAAAUUGAUGGUCACAUAAUUUGAGGAAGUGCAUUUUAUUCCACCCUUUUAGUAGAUCUAUAGGCACAGUAUAAAGGAUUUGUUUAAUCACAAUUUUCUAAUCUUUGGCAAUACAAUCCUUUUUUUGAGUGAUAAAUCCCAGCAACUGAGGAACUAAUGUUGAGAAGUGUUCAGUUGGAAGUAUCAGUUCAACCCAAUAAAAUUUCCUGGGUAUCUAUGUACAGUUAGCUCUGUGGUAAGUCCACUUGGGAUUAUAAAAAGAUUAUGCAAUUUCUGCCCUAUUGGAAGCUACAGCAUGUUAAGAUAUUAAGGCUUCCAACACUAGACAGCUAAAAGCUACUACAAAUAGGUUAUAUCAUAGGUUUUAAAAUAUUGGAGGAUGAUGAUAAUAACUUUUUUAUUUUCUUCUAAAAUUCCAAAGGAAUCUUCCAAAAUCAACUGAGAGAUUAUUAGGAACCAUAGGACACAGAGAGUUGUCUGGUUUUAAAAAAUCAUGUACAAAUAUCAUUAUCUUUCUUGUACAUCAAAAUGAAAAAUUAAAAUAGUGUAAUGGAACAAAACCACAAUCCAAAACUUCUAUCAAGUGUCCAGAUAUUAGUACAGUUUAUAUUGAUAUAAGAAUAGACUGGAUCAUAAAAUGGAAUAUAUUCCAGAAAUAAGUCCAUUUCUUAUAAGGGAGUGUGGAAUAUAAUAAAGAUGAGAAUUCAAGCCAAGAAGGCACCAUCUAUUUUUAAUAAAAAUAAAUACCUACAUUACUAUCAGAUUCAAAUAAAUUCCAGGAAGUAAUUACGCAAAGGAUAUGAUUGGAAUACACACAAAUAACAAAUAAAAACCUAAUUUUUCCCAUUAAAAUAUUAGAAGAAAAUAGGGCUGAAUGUUUCUAUUUGGAAUGGGAAUGCUUUGAAAAGCCUGAUUUAAAAAAUCCAGUCUCCCUAAAAGAUCAAUAAAUUUGACUAUUUAAAUUCAAACUAUUCGACAAUAAACAGAAUACAAUACAAACAAAGGCAAAAAGUUUAAAAAGAGCCUGACAUGGUGGCAUUCAUUUGUAAUCCCAGUGGCUCGGGAGGCUGAGUAAGGCAGAAGGAUCACAAGUUCAAGGCCAGCCUCAGCAAUUUAGCAAGGCCUAAGCAACUUAACAAGACCCUGUCUCAAAAUAAAAAAAUAAAAAGGGCCGAGGAUGUGGCUUAGUGGUUAAGUGUCCCUGGGUUCAAUCCCUGGCACUGGUAUAAAAAAAAAAGGAUGAAAAAAAGAUAUUACAUAAAUUAUUACAAAUAAAGUUUAUUUAUUAUUAUUAUACAUAAAAUUUUACCAAUCUCAAAAUACAUAAAAACUGUGUAAAAUAAGUUCAGAACUUGAAUAACUUCUUCAAAAAGGAAGAGGUAUGGAUAGCUAAAAAUUGAGCGAUAGAUAAUCAAACUUCUCAGAAUUGCAAUGUAAAAAUGAAUUUUUAUUUCCUCUAUCAGGUUGGCAAAGAUAAAAUCAUUUACAUUUGGCAAAGGUAUGAGAAGGCUGGCAUUUACAUUUACUAUUGGUUGGGAUGUACAUUGAUAAAUAUCUAGAAAAUAGUGGUAUGGGUUAACUAAUACCAAAAUCGAAAGGGAAAAUAUACCUUCAACCCUGCAUCUCAAGAGAUUUAUCUAAUGGGAUUAUUGCAUAACUAACCAAAGAUAUGUAUGCAAAGGGCUCUUUAUAGCAAGUUUGCACAUAAUAUUAAUAAUAGGAUUCUAAGGCCUGUUCUGUACAAUAAUAGUUAACACAUUGUUUAAUCUAAAUUUCACAGAACCUUAUGAAUAAUAUAUAAUCCUAUUCGUGUGUCAGAUGAGAACAGUCAGUUUAAAAUUUCAUAUUGAGAGCAAGUAUAAUAUGUGGGAUGAAAAUGCAGAUCAUUCUGCUCUGUUCUGUUUUUAAGGGUAGGAAUCAAAUAAUGAGAUUAUUUUCAACUGAGGUGGGCAGAACAGAAAGGCUUGUGCCAAUAAGUGGAUAUCAAGUUAAAAGGGUCUGAGAUGUGGGCCUGAGUUUAUCUCUUUGAGACAGAUAAUUGGAGCCAUUGGAACUAAGGUAAAUUGCUGGGAGAUCCUAAGGUCCAAAGAGAGAAAUAUGAAUUUGGUGCUAAGUGUAGGAGGGCUUGUACAUUCAUGAGAAGCACAGGCUUUGGAGGCAAUCUGCCUGCCCUUUUCAAAUCCUUACUCUGGCAGUUUACUAAACCCCUCUGUGCCACAGCUAUAAAAUGGGACUAAUUCUAGCAUCCACCUUAUAGGGUUGUUGAGAUGGCUGAGUAAGAUUUAGUGUAAAACUCCUAUAAGAGUUUCUGGAACACUAGAAUAAUUCAAUAAAUGUUUGCUAUGAUGAUUAUGAGGAGAAGGAUGGAAAAUGAGUGGAAAAUAGGGAAGAUGUUGACAAAACAUGUUCCUUUGGAAAUUCAUACACCUGACUCAUGAAGAUACCUUUUCCAAUACUGCCUGACAGGCACUCCAUUCAGCCCAUUAAAUUUAAUCUCCAUAAGUACCAGAAAAACUCAUUACUGUUACGAUGUGACUUUAUGUUCGCCAAGAAAUAUCUCUGUUGUUUUAUUGUUUAAAACACAACUCAAAGACUACCCAUCAUCUACUUUUUUGCUUUUAUGAACUAAUGUAUAUUUUGAAAGGGACUGGAAAAAAAUUUAAUUAGGAACUCAUUGUCUUUCAAUUGAGUUUAUGUAAUUGAGAUUGAUUCAUAUAAGGGGGAAUCAAAACUUUGUUUUGAACAAAUUUGUAGAAGCAAGGUAUUACUAAACACUUGGUUAAAAGAUUAAUCGUUUAGUCCUUUCUAAAAACAAAAUGUUGUUAUUAUUUAGAUCUUAUGAAAAUAAAAAAUAUAUAAGCAAACUUCUUCUUUCCCCCAAAAUAUAAGUGGUUAGGGAAUAGAGUUUAGAGAAAUCUUAUUCGCGUAUCAAAUGAGAGGGGAAAAAAGACAACCUUUAUUUUUUCUGGUUUCUGUGUCUGAUUACUUUUGAAUUUAACCCACACAAUGCUAGGCCAUGGAACAAUGCCUCCAAGGGAUUUCUGGAGCAUUAUGAAGUGGGAGACCACGUGAAUUCAUGGAUUUAUUCCUUCCUCAGGUAUUUAUUGAUGAUCUGUCGUCCCUCGUGCACUGUUCUUGGCAUGGGGGAUAAAGUGAGAGCAAAAUGGAUGGAAAGGAGGAGAGUAUUCAGUGAAUUUAGUGAUUGAAUGUCUUCUAUCAUUCCUUUGAACAACACAGGCCGUUCUGAGGCCUCAUCAGAUACUUAAGCCACCUCCAGAACCUCCUUGGGAUUUUCUGUCAUCUCCUGUGACAUAUCUUGUUUGUAGUAUUGGGUCAGCCAAGGACAGAUGCCAUGUACCUUGCUGGAUUAAUCACUUCUCCAAUUCAGUGGUUCAUAUCAUCAAAGCUUUAAGAGGAGGUUCUGAUAGGUACCAACUAGAAUUACUAGAAAUAUUUACUUAGGUUGCCUCUGUCUCUGAGUGAAUCAGUGGAGCAUAUGAUUGAUUUUAUGAUUGAAAAUUAGUCCAUUUCCAUGUGACACUAUUCAGGUAUUAUCUCAUUAUCGUAGGCCCAGUACCGCCAUCCUUUGCCAAUUUUCUUUUUUUUCUUUAUUUUAUUUUAUUUUUAUUUUUUUAUUAUUAGUUGUUCAAAACAUUACAAAGCUUUUGACAUAUCAUAUUUCAUACAUUUGAUUCAAGUGGGUAUGAACUCCCAAUUUUCCCCCGUAUAUAGAUCGCAGAAUCACAUCGGUUACACAUCCACGUUUUUACAUACUGCCAUACUAUUGUCUGUUGCAUUCUGCUGCCUUUCCUAUCCUCUACUACCCCCCCUCCCCUCCUUUCCCCUCCCAUCUUCUCUCUCUACCCCAUCUACUGUACUUCAUUUCUCUCCCUUGUUUUUUUUUUUUCCCACUUUCUUCUCACUUCCUCUUAUAUGAAAUUUUGUAUAACCAUGAGGGUCUCCUUCCAUUUCCAUGCAAUUUCUCUUCUCUCUCCCUUUCCCUCCCACCUCUCAUCCCUGUUUAAUGUUAAUCUUCUUCUCAUGCUCUUCCUCCCUGCUCUGUUCUUAGUUGCUCUCCUUAUAUCAAAGAUGACAUUUGGCAUUUGUUUUUUAGGGAUUGGCUAGCUUCACUUAGCAUAAUCUGCUCUAGUGCCAUCCAUUUCCCUGCUUUGCCAAUUUUCUAUUGAUGAAGGACUCCAUUCAAAUAAUGACCAGGAAAGGAUGAGAAAUUUGGAGACCCUCCCCUUUAUUGCCUAUUCCUUUUAUUUUGUCCCAUUGAAACUUCUCUUAUUAAAAAUUGAAAAUUGUGAGAAAUAAACAUAACUUGUAUGACAUUAUGAAUUUGUAUUUUUUCUGCUUUCUAACGAGUAAUUGCAAAAAAGAAAAAUCUGAGAAUAAUUCAUCUGACUUGAUUAAUUGACUAACCCUCCGAAUUACUUGAGUCUCUAUGAGACUCUCUUCAUCAUCUUUCACCACUCCUUAGAGUCACACUCACUUCCACCUUGGUAGUUCCUGCAGAACACUUAGGCAUUCUAUCUAUAAAUUGUAGAAGCAUUUUGUCUAGUUUCAUGAUGGAUUUAAUGACUUGGAAACAUUUGGUUUCUCUACUUACAGUUAGAAAACAAUGAGGAGGCAAUAUGAUUCCAGGAUGUUUUUUUUUUUUUUAAUAAAAAAAGGUGCAGUUAGUUAUGCUGAGCCCAACUGAUACUGGUACUUACCACCUCCUUCUCUAUUUCAGGCAAGGCAGCUUGACAUUGGCACACCAUACAACCUGAGUGAACCAGUGAGUAACUGUUUCCCUUGUCAAGAGCUUCACCCUGUUUGUGUUAAUAUAACAGGGACAACGAUCAGGUUUUGUGACAAUAAGGAUAUUUACUAAAUAAAAUCUCAUUUACCUGUCAGUUUUAGUCUGCUUUCUCACUGCUGUGACUAAAAGGAUCUGAGCAGCACAGUUAUAUAGGAGAAAAAGUUUAUUUGAGGGCUUCAGAGGUCUUAGUCCAUAGAAGGAUGCCUCCAUUUCUUGGGGCUUAAAGUGAGGCUGAACAUCAUGGUAGGAGAGUGACAGAGGCAAGCAGCUCACAUUAGAAAGCAGA